CAAAGGUUUGGUCCUGACUUUAUUAACAACUCUAGCUAGAUUUACACAUGCAAGUAUCCGCACCCCUGUGAGAAUGCCCUGACAGUUCCCUGCCCGGGAACAAGGAGCUGGUAUCAGGCACGCCCCUAUUUAAGCCCACGACACCUUGCUUAGCCACACCCCCAAGGGAACCCAGCAGUGAUAAACUUUAAGCCAUAAGUGAAAACUUGACUUAGUUAAAGCUAAGAGGGCCGGUAAAACUCGUGCCAGCCACCGCGGUUAUACGAGAGACCCUAGUUGUUAGACACCGGCGUAAAGAGUGGUUAAGAAAAACACUAAACUAAAGCCGAACGCUUAUCAGAGCUGUUAUACGCAUCCGAAAGUAAGAAGUUCAAUCACGAAAGUGGCUUUAUACCCUCUGACCCCACGAAAGCUAUGACACAAACUGGGAUUAGAUACCCCACUAUGCCUAGCCCUAAACAUUGGUAGUAUAUUACAUCCACUACCCGCCCGGGAACUACGAGCAUUAGCUUGAAACCCAAAGGACUUGGCGGUGCUUUAGACCCACCUAGAGGAGCCUGUUCUAGAACCGAUAACCCCCGUUCAACCUCACCUUUUCUUGUUUAACCCGCCUAUAUACCACCGUCGCCAGCUUACCCUGUGAAGGCCUUAUAGUAAGCAGAAUCGGCACAGCCCAGAACGUCAGGUCGAGGUGUAGCGUAUGGAAAGGGAAGAAAUGGGCUACAUUCUCUACUAUAGAGAACACGAAUGAUGCGUUGAAAUACGCAUACUGAAGGAGGAUUUAGCAGUAAGCAGAAAAUAGAGUGUUCUGCCGAAGUUGGCCCUGAAGCGCGCACACACCGCCCGUCACUCUCCCCGAGCCUAAUGAAUUUAUAUAAUUAAUAAGCCUACUAUUGCUAAGGGGAGGCAAGUCGUAACAUGGUAAGCGUACCGGAAGGUGCGCUUGGAUAAAC
rnacentral:ncRNA from 1 species